CAACGACUCUCGGCAACGGAUAUCUCGGCUCUCGCAUCGAUGAAGAACGUAGCGAAAUGCGAUACCUGGUGUGAAUUGCAGAAUCCCGCGAACCAUCGAGUCUUUGAACGCAAGUUGCGCCCGAGGCCAUUCGGCCGAGGGCACGCCUGCCUGGGCGUCACGC
rnacentral:rRNA from 1 species